ACCUCAGAAUCACAAAAUAAGUAAGAGUUGCUAGAAGCUGCUCUCCAAAGUUUCACAAAUAGUCUAACAUUUUCACAGCGGUUACUGGGGGUUUGCCAUGAAUCAGUGAGAACAACACAGCCCUGAGAGCUCACAGAGCUAUUUCAAACUCUAGAUUGAUGAGCAGGGGAGUUCCCAUGAAGCAAUAUUUACCAACUGAGAGCGUUAUGAUUGUUAAAACAGCUCUUGUGAGCCAGAUCACAUUCCUGCUGACAACAGGGAGGCAAAGAAGCUCCCCGAGUUACCUGCCACACACAGACUUUGGCUUCUGCUGGAGAUUGAUGUCUGUGCAUGAAGCUCAUGCCCAAAGAGAAAAGGGGCUGCGACAUGUUGGAGAACUGGUCCCAAUUCUUCACCCUUCUAUGUAUCCACACGCUAGCCAUGGCCUCCUUGUGGAUGGUGUAUACUUCUGCCCUGGCCUGGGACUUGUCCAUGUGAUUUGCUUCAGCCAAUGGCAUAUGAGUGGAAGUGGCAAUAUGCCAAUUCUGAGCCUAGAUCUACGAGACUUUGCCUGUUUUGGCUUGCUCUGUUAUGGAACAUUCCCCAGUUAGUCUGCUGGAAGGGAAAGGGCAACAGAAGUGCGAACCCACAGUGUGGACUAGAGCCAUUCUAGCUGCCGCAGCCUGAAUCAACCAGCCCACACACGACCAAGCCCAGCUGAGAUCAGCAGAGCCUGCCCAGGCGUCCUGCAGUUGUAUGAGAUAAAUAAUACGCACUGUUUUAAGCCACUUUGAUUCUCUGGUUCUUUGUUAUGCAGCAAUAGCUAAUCAAGACAAGCAGUUUCUAUCUCCCAGCUCUAGUUUGAAAAGUUCCAGGGAAGAGUGAUCUGACCUCACUUGUUUCAAAGGCCCAAAUCUGUCACCAGCCACUCAGAUAUCUUAAGAACAGGGUAACGGUGCUGGUUGUCACACAAAAGUGAGAACUUUCUACUCAGUAAUACACCUGUAUUUUUGUGUGUGUCGAAUUUAAAAUAUUCCAGUCAUCAAUCAUUUAAAACUAACAUAAAAAUUGAGAUUAGUUAAUACAGUAAAUAAUAAAACUAUGUGUAAUUAAAACUUCAUUAUGGCCAGAGAGCAUAGAAAAAGAAGAAGGAAAAGAAGAAGAUGCAAAACACAAUAUUUGCCCAAAAUCCAAGAAGGAGCAAUAUUUCCUUAGAUAAAAACAAUUAAAAAGUAUAUUUGAUAAUAAACAUAUUUUAAAAUCUAAGUAAGAAAGAAAUAAAAUUUUUGAAAAUAUCAUUUUACCCCAACU
rnacentral:lncRNA from 1 species